AAGCCUGACGCAGCAACGCCGCGUGAGUGAUGAAGGCCUUCGGGUCGUAAAGCUCUGUCGGGAGGGAAGAAAUGAUUGAGAGUUAAUACCUCUUGAUUUUGACGGUACCUCCGAAGGAAGCACCGGCUAACUCCGUGCCAGCAGCCGCGGUAAUACGGAGGGUGCAAGCGUUGUUCGGAAUUAUUGGGCGUAAAGCGCGUGUAGGCGGUUUGUUAAGUCUGGUGUGAAAGCCCUGGGCUCAACCUGGGAAGUGCAUUGGAUACUGGCAAACUUGAGUACGGGAGAGGAUAGUGGAAUUUCGAGUGUAGGAGUGAAAUCCGUAGAUA
rnacentral:rRNA from 1 species